UGGGGAAUAUUGGACAAUGGGCGAAAGCCUGAUCCAGCCAUGCCGCGUGUGUGAAGAAGGUCUUCGGAUUGUAAAGCACUUUAAGUUGGGAGGAAGGGCAGUAAAUUAUACUUUGCUGUUUUGACGUUACCGACAGAAUAAGCACCGGCUAACUCUGUGCCAGCAGCCGCGGAAAUACAGAGGGUGCAAGCGUUAAUCGGAAUUACUGGGCGUAAAGCGCGCGUAGGUGGUUCGUUAAGUUGGAUGUGAAAUCCCCGGGCUCAACCUGGGAACUGCAUUCAAAACUGACGAGCUAGAGUAUGGUAGAGGGUGGUGGAAUUUCCUGUGUAGCGGUGAAAUGCGUAGAUAUAGGAAGGAACACCAGUGGCGAAGGCGACCACCUGGACUGAUACUGACACUGAGGUGCGAAAGCGUGGGGAGCAAACA
rnacentral:rRNA from 1 species